rnacentral:pre_miRNA from 1 species
UUUUGGUCAGUAGGAGCAUGCCUGAUAAAUGAAUGCAGUAAUGCUCUUCCUUGCCGAAAGA